ACUAAUGAGCUUGAACAAGCAUAUAUUUUGAAAAUAUAUGAAAGAGAAAUUAGUCUCUAUUAGUUUA
rnacentral:tRNA from 1 species